UACGUAGGUGGCAAGCGUUGUCCGGAUUUACUGGGCGUAAAGAGCGCGCAGGCGGUCGUUCAAGUCGCGUGUGAAAGCCCCCGGCUCAACUGGGGAGGGUCACGCGAUACUGAUCGACUCGAAGGCAGGAGAGGGUAGUGGAAUUCCCGGUGUAGUGGUGAAAUGCGUAGAUAUCGGGAGGAACACCAGUGGCGAAGGCGACUACCUGGCCUGUUUCUGACGCUGAGGCGCGAAAGCUAGGGGAGCAAACGGG
rnacentral:rRNA from 1 species